GACGAACGCUGGCGGCGUGCUUAACACAUGCAAGUGGAGCGACGAACCGGGCUUCGGCCCGGGGCAAAGCCGCGAACGGGUGAGUAACACGUGGGUAACCUGCCCCGUUGACCGGGACAACUCGAGGAAACUCGAGCUAAUACCGGAUGAGCUCGCAUCCCAUCAGGGUUGUGAGGAAAGGAAGCUUCGGCCUCCGCAUCGGGAUGGGCCCGCGGCCCAUUAGCUUGUUGGUGGGGUAACGGCCUACCAAGGCUUCGAUGGGUAGCU
rnacentral:rRNA from 1 species